rnacentral:lncRNA from 1 species
GAAAAAUAGGUGCAAAGAUCAUUUGGAGAAUGACUGAAGAGGUUGUGGCAUUUGAUUGUGAUGAAAUAUCAUUGUGCUAUAAGAAUUAAAAAAGGGAAUGGUUUCAGAAAAACAGCAAGCCCUAUAUGAACUUAUGCAAAAAUAAAGGGAAAAAACUGGAGCAUUUGUAUACAGUAAUAGCAAUCUUGUAAUAGUGACCUUUUGAAUCUGUGAAAGAUUUGGCUACUCUGAUUAAUUCAAUGAUCCAAGACAAUUUCAAAGGACUCAUGAUGAAAAAAUGCUAUCUAUCUUGAGAGAGAAUUGAUGAACUCAAUGCAAAUUGAAUAAUUUUUUCUUUAUUUUUCUUUCUUUUUUUGAAAAUAUGGCUAAUAUGGAAAUAUUGUUAUGCAUGAUUUCAUUUGUAUGAAUGAUAUAUUGCUUGCCUUUUCUGUGGGUAGGGGAGAGAGUGAGAGUGAGGGAAAAAAUUUGGAACUUAAAAUUUAAAAAAGAAAAGGUUAUUAAAAAUAAUAUAUUAAAAUAUUAAAAAUAGAGUAAGAAAUGUACCACUUAAAAAAGGGCACUGUAGUUUUAUCUUACAUUAUGGAAACUGGCAAGCAUGACAAAAAACAGCCAGUGUUGAAGGGAUCGCUAAUGCAUUGUUGAUGGAGUUGUCGAGUUCAGUCCUCACUUGAAAAGUGUUUUGUAGUUAUACAAGAAAAAUAAUUGUAUUAUACAUGCUUUGAUCCAGAAAUUUCACUACUGGGCAUAUUACCUAUAUAAUCAAAAUAAUCAUAGCAGCAGCCUUUGUGAUAGCAAAGUGGUCCCUUCAGUUGGAAAAUGAUUGAAAAAAUGAUGGCGUAAGGAUGUUAAGGGCAGGAUGUAUUUGACAGUAAGAAGUUACACAUAGGAAGAAUUCAGGGAAGUAUAGGAAGAUUUCUAUGAAGUGCUACAGAGCAAGUUAAGCAGAACCAAGACAACACCAUACACAACCACAACUAUGUAAAUGGUCACUAAAAGCAAGUUGAACUCUGAGUAAAGAGGUAAUGAAACUUCCCUCCCUGUCAAAGAUCCAACUAGAAUCUUGUUGAAAAGACCUAUAUAAAAAUAAAAGGCAUAUAAGUUGAUAUACAUUUUUUUUUAAGGUAAAUGCCUAUUGAUGGAGUUGUGAAUUGAGAGCAAUUGUUGGGGAGCUGGAGAGCAAUUUGGAAUUAUGCCCCAAAGGACUAGAAAACUAGAAUCCAGCAGUGUCACUAUUGAGCCUGUAUCCCUAAGAGAUCAUAAAAAAAAGGAAAGGACCAACAUGUAAAAGAUGUUUGUAGUAGCCCUUUUUGUGGUGGCAAGGAAUUGAAAACUGAAUGGAUGGCCAUCAAUUGGGGAAUGGCUGAAUAAAUUAUGGUAUAUGAAUGUUAUAGAAUAUUAUUGUUCUGUAAGAUAUAAUGAGCAGGAUGAUUUCAGAAAAGCCUGGAGAGACUUAUAUGAACUGAUGCUGAGUGAAGUGAGCAGAACUAAGAGAAC